rnacentral:rRNA from 1 species
UACGAAGGGUGCAAGCGUUACUCGGAAUUACUGGGCGUAAAGCGUGCGUAGGUGGUUUGUUAAGUCUGAUGUGAAAGCCCUGGGCUCAACCUGGGAAUUGCAUUGGAUACUGGCAGGCUAGAGUGCGGUAGAGGGUAGUGGAAUUCCCGGUGUAGCAGUGAAAUGCGCAGAUAUCAGGAGGAACACCGGUGGCGAAGGCGGAUCUCUGGGCCUGUCCUGACGCUCAGGCGCGAAAGCUAGGGGAGCAAACAGG